GACGAACGCUGGCGGCGUGCCUAAUACAUGCAAGUAGAACGCUGAAGGAGGAGCUUGCUUCUCUGGAUGAGUUGCGAACGGGUGAGUAACGCGUAGGUAACCUGCCUGGUAGCGGGGGAUAACUAUUGGAAACGAUAGCUAAUACCGCAUAAUAGUAGAUGUCGCAUGACAUUUGCUUAAAAGGUGCAAUUGCAUCACUACCAGAUGGACCUGCGUUGUAUUAGCUAGUUGGUGAGGUAACGGCUCACCAAGGCAACGAUACAUAGCCGACCUGAGAGGGGGGUCGGCCACACUGGGACUGAGACACGGCCCAGACUCCUACGGGAGGCAGCAGUAGGGAAUCUUCGGCAAUGGACGGAAGUCUGACCGAGCAACGCCGCGUGAGUGAAGAAGGUUUUCGGAUCGUAAAGCUCUGUUGUAAGAGAAGAACGAGUGUGAGAGUGGAAAGUUCACACUGUGACGGUAUCUGACCAGAAAGGGACGGCUAACUACGUG
rnacentral:rRNA from 1 species